UACGGGGGGUCCAAGCGUUGUUCGGAAUCACUGGGCGUAAAGCGCACGUAGGUGGCUUUUCAAGUCUGUUGUGAAAGCCCAGGGCCUAACCCUGGAAGUGCAGCAGAUACUGUUAAGCUUGAGUAUGGGAGAGGAUAGUGGAAUUUCUGGUGUAGUGGUGAAAUACGUAGAUAUCAGAAGGAACACCAGUGGCGAAAGGCGGCUAUCUGGCCCAAUACUGACACUGAGGUGCGAAAGCGUGGGGAUCAAACAGG
rnacentral:rRNA from 1 species